rnacentral:rRNA from 1 species
CCUACGGGAGGCAGCAGUGAGGAAUAUUGGUCUAUGGGCGCGAGCCUGAACCAGCCAAGUAGCGUGAAGGAUGACUGCCCUACGGGUUGUAAACUUCUUUUAUAACGGAAUAAAGUGAGGCACGUGUGCCUUUUUGUAUGUACUUUAUGAAUAAGGAUCGGCUAACUCCGUGCCAGCAGCCGCGGUAAUACGGAGGAUCCGAGCGUUAUCCGGAUUUAUUGGGUUUAAAGGGAGCGUAGAUGGGUUGUUAAGUCAGUUGUGAAAGUUUGCGGCUCAACCGGAAAAUUGCAAUUGCUACUGGCAGCCUUGAGUACAGGUGAGGGAGGCGGAAUUCGUGGUGUAGCGGUGAAAUGCUUAGAUAUCACGAAGAACUCCGAUUGCGAAGGCAGCUUACUAAACUGCCACUGACAUUGAUGCUCGAAAGUGUGGGUAUCAAACAGGAUUAGAUACCCGAGUAGUC